UGUUUUCGGAAGAUCAGUUUUUUGAGGUUUUUCACUCUUCUUUUUGGUUUUUCUUUGAUCUAUAAAGAUCUAACCGUCCAAAUUCAAAUCUGUCUUCGGUAACGUGAUCCAUGAAUCCCGAUCUACGUUUUCACCAAUCGUUUUGAAGUAAUAGGUUACUUGAAAUUUGCUUGAGGCUAACCAAACCAUGGGUUUUGGUUUGGUGGAAUUUUGUAAUGCAUUGCAUGGUGGUGUCUAGGAGACCUAGUGCUUAAUAUCCGCCCAGCCAAGACAUUGAUGCUUUGGUUGCAGGUUCUGCGGAUAUAGAUAAUGACUCGCCCACCUAGCUAGAUGAUAUGAUUGGAGUACAUCGUGACAGUCAUAAGUCACAGACUCAUGGGUAGUCUGCAUUUGGGUAUUUUAUUUAUGGCUCGUGUCAUACGUGACAUAUGUAUUUGUUGAGCCUGUAUUUUAGUAUGUAAUUAGUGUAAUAUGUUUUAUAAGCUUUAAUCAGUUAGACAUGUAAAUGGCUCUUGUUGUCGAUAACAGUUAUAUAUUAGAUGUAUUUCCGCUAUUGAUAUGUGUUCCGCUGCACAUGGAUAUUUA